AAGUCUAUUUAUAUAAUGGCGCCACAAAGAAAAAUUUUUUGAUGUGUUCUAAAAGUGUUCCGCUAAUUCAGCAAUCUAAUGAAUCUGUCUUAAUUUUUCUGAAAUCGUGCUUAAUUAUUAUUAGCUAAUCGGCGCUACACCGUUGUUCAAAUACUUAUAAUUGCAAGAAACCCCCGACUAGGACCAGCAGGUAAGAAUCUGUCUUGAUUUUAUAGUAAUACCCGGUUGCAAUUAUUGGCCGCCAUCUUUGAUUUUUAUAGACGUUCGGGCAAAAGGAGAAAUGUAUAUCCAGACAUGGACUAUAGCUAGAUACUAACUUUUGUGUUAGUUGUUUAGUUGAAAUGUAAUCUUAUUUCUGUAAAAGAAAAAAACAACAACAAACAAAUCAGCCUUUUUUUUAUAUCAAUGUCAUCAAUGUGUAGGCCUAAUAUUAGACUUUCAAUGAUUCAGAAGUUUCUCUACAGUUUCGUUAUUUUUUUUUCCAGUCAUUGAUGUUAGCAUGUACUACACAAAGAAAAACAGGCAAAGCAUGAAGCCAAAGGAAAUGUUUUUACCAAGGCAUGUUCCUCAAUAGCGGAGAGAGUUUUAUCCAGUGUCGGUUCUGCAGAAGAACCCAUUAAUAGCAGACCACCCAUUGCAGCACUUGUAAGGUCGCUAUAAAGAACCCGACAGACUGCGACCAAAAGAUCCCACUGACGUGUCGUCAAGCCUUGACGAAGAUUUCAUCGAUCAUAGUGCACCGGGAUUUUAUCAAAAAGGAGUAAAAGUUGGGGAAAGCCGCCAUCACAUUUUUUGUACUGAUAGACAGAUGCAACUACUCGCACGCGCAAAAACUUGGUAUAUGGAUGCAACUUUUCAGGUGGUGAACAAGCCAUGGUCUCAGCUGUUUUCCAUCCACGCCUUCAUUAAGACUGGAGAGACCACCCGACAGUUACCAUUGGUGUUUUGUGUAAUGUCGGGUAAAAGCCAAGACGACUAUUAUACGGUAAAUAGCACUUACUGAUUGAAUUACUAUUAAUAGUAAAAAAGGACUAUUAUUUGGGACCUUGAAAUUGUCACAAAUGGGUCGCACUAACAGCGACAUUUGUUUCAGGCAUAUUUGUUUCAUCGGGGACACGUCUGGUGUCAUGUGAAUGCAACGACAACAGCCCGAUUGAUUGAUUUGUUGAUUGGAGUUCAGAUGUCUACAUUAAAAUCGACCACUUUCAGGUUGCCGUAUUCACGGCCAGUUUCCAUAUUAGAUGCCAUAGCAAAUCAAAGAUCAUAUAAUAAAAUAAGUCAAAAAACCCAAAUAUGGAAAAAGAAAGAGCUGAAGAAAUGGUGAUUUGAGCACCUAUGCUUUCUCAUAGGUGUUUUUGGAGGGUGAGUGUUCAAUUCUAAUAGAAAAGAUUGUUGUUAUGGUAUUUUAGAAUCUCACCAUAAUGUGUUUGGCACAAUAUAUCCCGGUUGGAGCUGAUGUGACAUAAACCUCCAUUUCAUUUUAUUGUUUUGAAAUUUAAAAUUCAGUUUAGUAUAGUAAAUUUGUACACGUACAUGUAUGUGCACAAACAGAAUCUUACUUAUGUCCAGAUACAUGUAGAUAUGACUGUCUCAUCUGUGGGGGACCACGGUGGCCAAGUGGGUUAGACACUGGCUCGCAUAUUUUAAGGUCGCGGGUUUGCAGUAAGACAUUGCAGUACGGAGGACUGGGCUAAUGAAGUUGGGCAUAUGCCAUACAGUGUGCUACGAGAGAAAUUUUGCCGGGUACCGUGACCUUAAGGCCUUCUCUUGUAUCAAAUUCUAACUGCCAGGGGAUCUUUUACAUGCACACCAAUGUGUAC